AAAAGGAGGGAGAGAAGAAGAGAAGACAAAACGGAGGAAGUGAUCCAGACUGCUGAUGAUAGUGUGAUGUGUUAUGUUUUGCAUCUACUCAGAAGGCUGAAGACUCGGGCUGUGUGAAUAACUUUCUGUGAAUAUCUUGCCGACGGCAGCUACCAGUCGUUGGUGAAAAUGAACAUUUAAAA